rnacentral:rRNA from 1 species
AGCGUACACGGUGGAUGCCCUGGCAGUCAGAGGCGAUGAAGGACGUGCUAAUCUGCGAUAAGCGUCGGUGAGGUGAUAUGAACCGUUAUAACCGGCGAUUUCCGAAUGGGGAAACCCAGUGUGAUUCGUCACACUAUCAUUAACUGAAUCCAUAGGUUAAUGAGGCGAACCGGGGGAACUGAAACAUCUAAGUACCCCGAGGAAAAGAAAUCAACCGAGAUUCCCCCAGUAGCGGCGAGCGAACGGGGAGGAGCCCAGAGCCUGAAUCAGUGUGUGUGUUAGUGGAAGCGUCUGGAAAGGCGCGCGAUACAGGGUGACAGCCCCGUACACAAAAAUGCACAUAUUGUGAGCUCGAUGAGUAGGGCGGGACACGUGGUAUCCUGUCUGAAUAUGGGGGGACCAUCCUCCAAGGCUAAAUACUCCUGACUGACCGAUAGUGAACCAGUACCGUGAGGGAAAGGCGAAAAGAACCCCGGCGAGGGGAGUGAAAAAGAACCUGAAACCGUGUACGUACAAGCAGUGGGAGCCUCUUUUAUGGGGUGACUGCGUACCUUUUGUAUAAUGGGUCAGCGACUUAUAUUCUGUAGCAAGGUUAACCGAAUAGGGGAGCCGAAGGGAAACCGAGUCUUAACUGGGCGUUAAGUUGCAGGGUAUAGACCCGAAACCCGGUGAUCUAGCCAUGGGCAGGUUGAAGGUUGGGUAACACUAACUGGAGGACCGAACCGACUAAUGUUGAAAAAUUAGCGGAUGACUUGUGGCUGGGGGUGAAAGGCCAAUCAAACCGGGAGAUAGCUGGUUCUCCCCGAAAGCUAUUUAGGUAGCGCCUCGUGAAUUCAUCUCCGGGGGUAGAGCACUGUUUCGGCAAGGGGGUCAUCCCGACUUACCAACCCGAUGCAAACUGCGAAUACCGGAGAAUGUUAUCACGGGAGACACACGGCGGGUGCUAACGUCCGUCGUGAAGAGGGAAACAACCCAGACCGCCAGCUAAGGUCCCAAAGUCAUGGUUAAGUGGGAAACGAUGUGGGAAGGCCCAGACAGCCAGGAUGUUGGCUUAGAAGCAGCCAUCAUUUAAAGAAAGCGUAAUAGCUCACUGGUCGAGUCGGCCUGCGCGGAAGAUGUAACGGGGCUAAACCAUGCACCGAAGCUGCGGCAGCGACACUAUGUGUUGUUGGGUAGGGGAGCGUUCUGUAAGCCUGCGAAGGUGUACUGUGAGGUAUGCUGGAGGUAUCAGAAGUGCGAAUGCUGACAUAAGUAACGAUAAAGCGGGUGAAAAGCCCGCUCGCCGGAAGACCAAGGGUUCCUGUCCAACGUUAAUCGGGGCAGGGUGAGUCGACCCCUAAGGCGAGGCCGAAAGGCGUAGUCGAUGGGAAACAGGUUAAUAUUCCUGUACUUGGUGUUACUGCGAAGGGGGGACGGAGAAGGCUAUGUUGGCCGGGCGACGGUUGUCCCGGUUUAAGCGUGUAGGCUGGUUUUCCAGGCAAAUCCGGAAAAUCAAGGCUGAGGCGUGAUGACGAGGCACUACGGUGCUGAAGCGACAAAUGCCCUGCUUCCAGGAAAAGCCUCUAAGCAUCAGGUAACAUUAAAUCGUACCCCAAACCGACACAGGUGGUCAGGUAGAGAAUACCAAGGCGCUUGAGAGAACUCGGGUGAAGGAACUAGGCAAAAUGGUGCCGUAACUUCGGGAGAAGGCACGCUGAUAUGUAGGUGAAGCGACUUGCUCGUGGAGCUGAAAUCAGUCGAAGAUACCAGCUGGCUGCAACUGUUUAUUAAAAACACAGCACUGUGCAAACACGAAAGUGGACGUAUACGGUGUGACGCCUGCCCGGUGCCGGAAGGUUAAUUGAUGGGGUUAGCGGCAACGCGAAGCUCUUGAUCGAAGCCCCGGUAAACGGCGGCCGUAACUAUAACGGUCCUAAGGUAGCGAAAUUCCUUGUCGGGUAAGUUCCGACCUGCACGAAUGGCGUAAUGAUGGCCAGGCUGUCUCCACCCGAGACUCAGUGAAAUUGAACUCGCUGUGAAGAUGCAGUGUACCCGCGGCAAGACGGAAAGACCCCGUGAACCUUUACUAUAGCUUGACACUGAACAUUGAGCCUUGAUGUGUAGGAUAGGUGGGAGGCUUUGAAGUGUGGACGCCAGUCUGCAUGGAGCCGACCUUGAAAUACCACCCUUUAAUGUUUGAUGUUCUAACGUGGGCCCGUAAUCCGGGUUGCGGACAGUGUCUGGUGGGUAGUUUGACUGGGGCGGUCUCCUCCUAAAGAGUAACGGAGGAGCACGAAGGUUGGCUAAUCCUGGUCGGACAUCAGGAGGUUAGUGCAAUGGCAUAAGCCAGCUUGACUGCGAGCGUGACGGCGCGAGCAGGUGCGAAAGCAGGUCAUAGUGAUCCGGUGGUUCUGAAUGGAAGGGCCAUCGCUCAACGGAUAAAAGGUACUCCGGGGAUAACAGGCUGAUACCGCCCAAGAGUUCAUAUCGACGGCGGUGUUUGGCACCUCGAUGUCGGCUCAUCACAUCCUGGGGCUGAAGUAGGUCCCAAGGGUAUGGCUGUUCGCCAUUUAAAGUGGUACGCGAGCUGGGUUUAGAACGUCGUGAGACAGUUCGGUCCCUAUCUGCCGUGGGCGCUGGAGAACUGAGGGGGGCUGCUCCUAGUACGAGAGGACCGGAGUGGACGCAUCACUGGUGUUCGGGUUGUCAUGCCAAUGGCACUGCCCGGUAGCUAAAUGCGGAAGAGAUAAGUGCUGAAAGCAUCUAAGCACGAAACUUGCCCCGAGAUGAGUUCU